GCUGCAACUCUUGCGGUAGA
rnacentral:snRNA from 1 species